rnacentral:tRNA from 1 species
GCGGAUGUGGUGGAACUGGCAGACGCGUACGGUUCAGGGCCGUAUGUUCUUACGAACGUGUGGGUUCAAAUCCCACCAUCCGCACCA